GAUGAACGCUAGCGGCAGGCCUAACACAUGCAAGUCGAGGGGUAGAAGGAGCUUGCUCCUUUGAGACCGGCGCACGGGUGCGUAACGCGUAUGCAAUCUACCUUGUACAGGGGAAUAGCCCAGAGAAAUUUGGAUUAAUGCCCCAUAGUAUAUAACCUUCGCAUGUUGGUUAUAUUAAAGUUCCAACGGUACAAGAUGAGCAUGCGUCCCAUUAGUUAGUUGGUAAGGUAACGGCUUACCAAGACGAUGAUGGGUAGGGGUCCUGAGAGGGAGAACCCCCACACUGGUACUGAGACACGGACCAGACUCCUACGGGAGGCAGCAGUGAGGAAUAUUGGUCAAUGGUCGCAAGACUGAACCAGCCAUGCCGCGUGCAGGAAGACGGUCCUAUGGAUUGUAAACUGCUUUUGUACGGGAAGAAACACCCCCUCGUGAGGGGGCUUGACGGUACCGUAAGAAUAAGGAUCGGCUAACUCCGUGCCAGCCGCCGCCGUAAAAC
rnacentral:rRNA from 1 species